UGCAGGAGAAGGUGGAGAAUCUCCAGAGGCAGCUGCACUCCUCCGAGAAGAAACUACUGAACAAAGAGUUAGAGAAUCAGGAGCAGACUUCACACAGAUGUUUCCUGCCUGCCUCUUCCAGAGCCCUCUCGGACUCCCAGCUGUAAAAUGGCGGCUCGGCUGCACCUCACGGUCACGCUGGUACUUCAGGAGUGUGAGAUGAAAAUGAAAGGGCUGAUGCCAGCUGAGCUGCGACAGGAGCUGGAGGACACUAUCUCCUCUCUCAAGUCUCAGGUGAACUUCCUCCAGAAGAGAGCUUCUGUGUUACAGGAGGACCUGGAUGCCUGUCACAGCAGGAGGUUACCAUGAACUGUUCUUCCCUUGGCUACGCCCAUUAUCCGGACAUGAAGGAUAUGACGCCCUAUCAGAUGUGAGAAUCAUCGCCACAGUUACCAGGCAUCACACAUCUGUCAUGCCAUGGGAGCACCAAUCAGCUGUGCCAGUUAUGUUGGCCACACCCACACUGUUGUGUCUAUCACAAUUUUUAACCACUAUGGAUUUUUACAUAUUUAUUUACUGUCAGAUUUUUUGUUCACAUUCCCUGUUAGAAAUCAAUCAUUUUGUGGAUGUUUAAUGUACGUACUAUCCAUACAUACACUAUAUAUACAAAAGUAUGUGGACACCCCUUGAAAUGAGUAGAUUCUGCUAUUUCAGCCACACCCAU